rnacentral:rRNA from 1 species
AUUGAACGCUGGCGGCAGGCCUAACACAUGCAAGUCGAACGGUAACAGGAAGCAGCUUGCUGCUUUGCUGACGAGUGGCGGACGGGUGAGUAAUGUCUGGGAAACUGCCUGAUGGAGGGGGAUAACUACUGGAAACGGUAGCUAAUACCGCAUAACGUCGCAAGACCAAAGAGGGGGACCUUAGGGCCUCUUGCCAUCGGAUGUGCCCAGAUGGGAUUAGCUAGUAGGUGGGGUAACGGCUCACCUAGGCGACGAUCCCUAGCUGGUCUGAGAGGAUGACCAGCCACACUGGAACUGAGACACGGUCCAGACUCCUACGGGAGGCAGCAGUGGGGAAUAUUGCACAAUGGGCGCAAGCCUGAUGCAGCCAUGCCGCGUGUAUGAAGAAGGCCUUCGGGUUGUAAAGUACUUUCAGCGGGGAGGAAGGGAGUAAAGUUAAUACCUUUGCUUAUUGACGUUACCCGCAGAAGAAGCACCGGCUAACUCCGUG